GACGAACGCUGGCGGCGUGCCUAACACAUGCAAGUCAACUUGAGGGAAGGAGCAAUCUGACCUGAUGGUGCGCAAGGGUGCGUAACGCGUAAGUAACUUGCCCAAGGUAAGGAAUAACGUCGAGAAAUCGGCGCUAAUACCUCAUAAUGCAGCGGAUCCGCAUGGAUAUGUUGUUAAAGGUUUACCGCCUUGGGAUAGGCUUGCGUCUGACUAGCUAGUUGGUGUGGUAAUGGCACACCAAGGCUACGAUCAGUAACUGGUCUGAGAGGAUGAUCAGUCACACUGGAACUGAGACACGGUCCAGACUCCUACGGGAGGCAGCAGUGAGGAAUAUUGGGCAAUGCACGAAAGUGUGACCCAGCAACGCCG
rnacentral:rRNA from 1 species